rnacentral:lncRNA from 1 species
GGUUGUCGGUUUUGACAACGGCCGUGGUUUUUUCUCCGGUUUUGGAGUUUCCACGUUAUAUUCUUGUGUUGUUGAUUGCGUUCUUUUAUUUUCUCUAUGCCGGUUUUUCCCAACAAUUCAAACAUUAAUGUAUGAAUUGAAGAAAAAUGUGUGAAGAUAAAUUGUGGGGGAUUGAAAAUUGAACUUUUAAAAUUGUUAUUGUGGUGAUGGAAGUUGAGUUGGAUGGGUGGGGUUGAUGGUUUUUGGUGUAAAGGUUCGCUACGGGUGUCAGUAAAUUUAGGUGCUGUUUUAGUUUACUUUUUAUCUAGUGAUGUGAUUGUAAUGUGUUUGUUUUGUGCACUGUGCUCGUCUAGCGCUCAAAUGCGUUAUUAAUAAAAUUUUGCCGUUCAACAAAAAAAUUUGUUCUAUACAAUUUAUUAGCAAAUUAAAAGGAAUGUUUGUCAUGGAAAAUAUUAUCGAUGGUAAUUUUUAACAGGUUCUAUUGUUGAACUUGAAGAAUGAAGAUAUGGUUUGAAGUACAGAGAGAGAGAGGUCGUAGAAGAAAACAUUCUUUUUUCUUUUUUUUUUAAUCCAAAUAAUAAUUACUGG